UACGUAGGGUGCAAGCGUUAAUCGGAAUUACUGGGCGUAAAGCGUGCGCAGGCGGUUAUUCAAGACAGAUGUGAAAUCCCCGGGCUCAACCUGGGAACUGCAUUUGUGACUGGAUGACUAGAGUACGGCAGAGGGGGAUGGAAUUCCGCGUGUAGCAGUGAAAUGCGUAGAUAUGCGGAGGAACACCGAUGGCGAAGGCAAUCCCCCUGGGCCUGUACUGACGCUCAUGCACGAAAGCGUGGGGAGCAAACAGG
rnacentral:rRNA from 1 species